rnacentral:rRNA from 1 species
UACGAAGGGGGCUAGCGUUGUUCGGAAUUACUGGGCGUAAAGCGCGUGUAGGCGGGCCGUUAAGUCGGGGGUGAAAGCCCAGAGCUCAACUCUGGAACUGCCUUCGAUACUGGCGACCUGGACCCAAGUAGAGGCGGGUGGAAUUGCGAGUGUAGAGGUGAAAUUCGUAGAUAUUCGCAGGAACACCAGUGGCGAAGGCGACUCGCUGGACUUGUGGUGACGCUGAGACGCGAAAGCGUGGGUAGCAAACAGG